rnacentral:rRNA from 1 species
UAUUUUGACUAUUCAAAGGUAUUGUAAUAAGACUUUAAUUGAGUGCUAAAAGAAUGGAAUUACAAAAAAAGACUUUUUUAAUUUUAAAAAUUAAAAUUAUUUUUUUUGUGAAGAAACAAAAAUUAAAAUUAAAGACAAGAAGACCCUAAGAAUUUUUUUUUUGUUUUUAAAUAAAGUAUUUUAUUUUACAAAUUUAAUUGGGGCGAUUAAUUAAUAUUGGAAACUUUAUUAAUAAAAAAAAAUGAUCCAUUACUAAUGAUUAUUUGAUUAAAAUACUCUAGGGAUAACAGCGUAAUAAUUUUUAAUAGUUCUUAUAGAAAAAAUAGUUUGCGACCUCGAUGUUGGAUUAGGAUUCUAUUUUAAUGAAGAAGUUAAAAAAAGAAGUUUGUUCAACUUUUAAAUUCCU